AAAAAAGAAAAAAGAAAAAAAAUUGAACGGCCAUGAUUUGAGGUGGGAGUCCAUGUAAUCAAAUGCCUUUUGAGUCAUUUAUUCAUCAAACCAAACUUCCCACCAAAAUCCCAUAUCAACAAGAUAUUGGUUUUAUCUUGGCUCUCAUCGAUCUUAUAUAAUUGUAAUUCAAGUUUUGUUUGGAAUUCUAUAUAUUUUCGCAGUUUGAAAGAGUAAUUGACAGAGGGGGUCUGUUUGCUUUUGACUAGAUCUACCUGUAUACAAGUAACCACAAAGAAUUGGAGAAGUGAAAAGAACAUCAUCAGGUGGGCUCUGAUAUAUUAUGGAAAUGGACAAGGAGAAGGAAUGUUUGACUAUGCCUCAAGCUAUGGGAAUUUGCAUGUAUUUUUGCUUCACAAGUGCUAUAUGGGGAGCAUUUUGUUUGAUUAAGAUUAUGAAGAACAAUGAAGACCAUAAACUAUCAUUAACCUUGGUCGUUUACUUCAUUGUUGUUCGUCACAUUUUGGUCAUUUUUUUCUUCGCAAUAACUAUGAAGCUUUUUGUUGAAGUGGUGUAUGAAGUCAUAACCAGACAGAGAAAAGUUGAGCCUCCCUCAACUGUGGAGGCAGGGGAGUGUAAUCCAUGGUUUAGUAGUCAAGGAAUGGAUGUUUGAACAGUUCAAA